AUGGGCCAAGAGAUGGAAAAUGGGAUUAGCGUCAUCAGAUCUUUUUUGUCCAACACAGACACGAGAGGCCAAGUGGCCUCAUUCAAUGUUGUUCAUGUCAAUGACUGUCAGAGGCAGAGAGAGAGAGAGAAGUCAGGCCGUGACAGGUCUCAGCCCAAGCUGACCCUGCUACCCCCCUCCCCGGAGCAGGUCCAGACCAAGGGCACUGCCACCCUGGUGUGCCUUGCCAAUCACUUCUAUCCCGAUGAGCUGGAGGUGCAGUGGAAGAAGGAUGGUGUAGUCAUUUCGGACGGGGUUCAGACCAGCAACUACCUGCGAGCUUCGGACAGCACCUACAGUGUCAGCAGCCUGCUGACCCUCUCUGGCUCUGACUGGGAGUCCAACGCUCGCUUCUCCUGUGCUCUCACCCACGUCACACUCUCCUCUCCCCUCAGUAAGACCAUCAGGAGAUCAGAAUGUGUGUAG